CAGCCGCCGCGGUAAUACGUAGGUGGCAAGCGUUGUCCGGAUUUAUUGGGCGUAAAGCGAGCGCAGGCGGUUUCUUAAGUCUGAUGUGAAAGCCCCCGGCUCAACCGGGGAGGGUCAUUGGAAACUGGGAGACUUGAGUGCAGAAGAGGAGAGUGGAAUUCCAUGUGUAGCGGUGAAAUGCGUAGAUAUAUGGAGGAACACCAGUGGCGAAGGCGGCUCUCUGGUCUGUAACUGACGCUGAGGCUCGAAAGCGUGGGGAGCAAACAGGAUUAGAUACCCGAGUAGUCCCUGUCUCUUAUAU
rnacentral:rRNA from 1 species